rnacentral:rRNA from 1 species
CCUACGGGUGGCAGCAGUGAGGAAUAUUGGUCAAUGGGCGCUAGCCUGAACCAGCCAAGUCGCGUGAAGGAUGACUGCCCUCUGGGUUGUAAGCUUCUUUUAUAUGGGAAUAAGGUGCAAUAUGUAUACUGCUUUGCAUGUACCUUAUCAAUAAGGCUCGGCUAACGCCGUGCCAGCAGCCGCGGUAAUACGGAGGAUUCGGGCGUUAUCCGGAUUUAUUGGGUUUAAAGGGCGCGUAGGCGGGUUGUUAAGUCAGUUGUGAUAGUUUGGGGCUUAACCGGAAAAUUGCAGUUGAUACUGGCAUCCUUGAGUACAGUAGAGGUAGGCGGAAUUCGUGGUGUAGCGGUGAAAUGCGUAGAUAUCACGAAGAACUCCGAUUGCGAAGGCAGCCUGCUGGACUAUAACUGACGCUGAUGCUCGAAAGUGUGGGUAGCAAACAGGAUUAGAUACCCCGGUAGUC